GGAGACAGAAAGAUUGAGGGAGGAGAAUUUAAGAGAUUGUGAACAAAUAGUGUGAAAUAAAAGUGAGACAGAAAAGAAGAGAAGAGAUGAGAAGAAUUAAACAAGGAUUAGAGAGGAAUGGAUUGUAAAGAAAGGAAGAGGAAGUAGAGAAGGAAGAAACAAGUGUCUUGCUGAAGGGCACUUGGACAAGAGGAGCUCUGAAAUCAAACUACCAACUCUACAAAUAAUGCCCAUUCCACUCUACCAACUGAGCCCUACAUGCUGUUAGUACAAAGACUAGAUAAAAUGCACAAUUUCAUGCAGUGAUCAGAUGAGACUAUCAAACUGUCAGGAUUCGAGACAGAGGAAGCGUGAUUGGUGACUGGUGUAUUCCGAGCAGACGCAGAGCUAAAGAUGAAGGGGAGAGGCAGAAACCUGUUCCCCCCCCCCCCCAGGAUAAUGUCUGUGCCUCUGUGUCACUUCACUGCACUUUGAUCAAUAUGAGCCCAUUCCUGCAUCUCAAGUGCUCCCCUCUUCACUCCAACAGAAAUUCCAGACAGCAGGGCCUGCCGAUAACACACUCUGAACAUUAAUAACCCCUCUGUCUCAUAGAGUUUUAGUAUCACUAUCAGCACCAGCAUGCAGAGCAGUAUCCUGGACACACUACCCAGCAGGCAACAGGGCAACAAAACAUUUAUUCCUUUACAAUGCCAGCUAAAUAAAUUUUUAUUAAA